UUUUUUUGUUCUAAUGAAGUACAAAAGGUUUGAAACAUGUUCCUCAAAGGUUUUUUGACAGUGAUAUUAACCCUAACGCCAAAAACCUUAAAUCUUACCCUGGCCCCAUAGUUCAAUACCCGGGUAUUAUCUAAAGGAAGCCCUAACACCCGAAACAUUUUUUUUUUUCGUUUUUUUUUGGUCUUACUAACUCCAAGAGGUAUGAAACAUGUUCCUAAAAGAGUCUUGGACAGUGAUUUUAACCCUAACACCAAAAACCUUAAACCUUACCCUAGCCCCGUAUCCCAAUACCCGGAUAUUAUCUAAAUGAAGCCCUUACACCCCAAACUUUUUUCUAUUUUUCAUUUUUUUUGGUCUAACUAACUCAAAAAGGUUUGAAACAUGUUCCUAAAAAAGUCUUGGACAGUGAUUUUAACCCUAACCCCAAAAACCUUAAACCUGACCCUAGCCCCGUAACCCAGUACUAGGGCGUUACCUAAAGGAAGACCUAACAACCCAAAAUUAUUUUUUUCAUUUUUCCUUUUUUUCUGUCUAACUAACUCCAAAAGGUUGGAAACAUGUUCCUAUAAAGGUUUUGGAUAGUGAUCUUAACCCUAACCCCAAAAACCUUAAACCUUACCCUAGCCCUGUAACCCAAUACCCGGGUAUUACCUAAAGGAAGCCCUAACACCCCAAACAUUUUUUUUCAUUUUACGUCUUUUUUUCUAGUCUAACUAACUCCAAAAGGUUGGAAAAAAUUCCUUAAAAGGUUUUGGACAGUGAUUCUGACCCUAAACCCAAGAAACCUUAAACCUAUGAGGAAACCUAAAGGAAGCCCUAUCACAGAAAAAAAAAAUUAUUGACAUUUUUCAGGUUUUUUUGGUCUAACUAACUCCAAAAGGUAUGAAACAUGUUCCUAAAAGAGUCUUGGACAGUGAUUUUAACCCUAACACUGAAAACCUUAAACCUUACCCUACCCCCGAAACCCAAUACCCUGGGUAUUAACGAAAGGAAGACCUAACACCCCAAAAAAGUUUUUUGACAUUUUAAAUUUAUUUUUGGUCUUAUUAAUGUAGCAAUCAAAACAACCCUGUAUGUGAAAUUCACACAUUCCUCGCAGGAAAGUUUUCCUAUCUGGUCCCAGGACACAGGAUAUAAAUCUUUCCAGACUUGUUUGCACUUUCAGGUUACCUAACUGACCCGACCGGAGUUUGACCAAACCUCUGACUCUUCACGAUUGGUCAAUUCGGAGAACAGAGACAGAGUUUUAUUACCUUUCAAACUGACUCCAUUGCUGACCAUCUAAAUGAAUAAUAACACCUCAACCCAGAUCUCCCAUUUGAGAUUUACCGUCUUAAAGUGUGUGAACAUACGGACCCCAAGAUAAGGGGGGACACUGACCUCCAGACCUCGGUCGUAAAACCCUGCUCAACCAUGUACUGAUAAAAACUGCAUUCCUUUGGUGAAAGAAUACAAAUGACUGAUCAUGACAUCUUAUGCAUUCAGCAAUGUACUAAUCCGUCUAAUAAUGAAAUUUGUGUUAAAAUGCGAUGUUUCCCGUUUUUCUAUGUGCUCCAGAAGCCAAGUUAUCACUCCGACAGAAUAAAUCCUUUAUUCUUUAGUUUCUUUAGACCAACAGCUUUUCAGACUGUUUCAUGAACUUUUAAGAGUUAAAUUUAUUGACUAUGAAUAAUAACCUUACUCUAAGUAACAGAAAUGGUUUAGAAAUGUUUGGUUCAUAUUUUAGUUGUUUAUUUCGUAUUUUAACCAUUAGGUGGUUAUAAUGUCAUUGAAUAAUCUGAAUGUGAGUAUUUAGAAUCCAUUACUAAUCAUGGUGAAGUUCAUUCACUUGUGUUUACUCUUUUGUUGUUCACAGUUUCUGUGUGUACUAUCUGUUUCAUUUCAGAAUAAUUUGGCAUGUUCAAUGUGAUACUUAAAACAUAAUGAGAAUGUUUGAUGUGAUCCUACAUUUCAUUCAUAUGUGUUUAGUAUCAAAUUAUUUAUCAUGAAACCAAGCAUUCAAUGAUAUUAAUCGUAGUGAGUGAGUAUCAGUUCUGACUCUUUUACCAGCCAAAAGUAUAAGUGAGAUCAAAUAAUCAGAGAUCUGAGGUCUCCUUUGCUUGGAGACCACAUGACCCCCUCCUCUUUCUCCUCACACACACGCCAGAGACACUCCCAGUGUGAGAAGAUAAAACCAGUUGAGUGGGGUUGCUCACUCUCUUGUGCCGCGCUCUUCUCCCUCUUCUCCCCUUUUCGCUCUUCUGUCCACACCCUUCUGUGGUCCUCUUCUUUGUUUUCUCUUAGAACUUUUCCUUAGUCUUCUAAGUUUUACACCAUGUGUUGAUUCACAUUGAUUUUUCUUUAACAUCGUCUUAGUUCAAGUUUUGAAACUUCAACUUUUUGUGCGCAUAGCAAUUCAAGAUUAAGCCUUUGAUUGAAUUUUCUUUAAUUUCGCGAAGCCAUUUUUGAAAAUUAUCUCUGCUCAUCAAACCUCAUUUUUCUGAGUUAUCUGCGUGAUUUCUAAGUCACCUCUGAACGCAACCCAGCAGGCCCAGGUCAUCCUCUGUGCCAGAGUUUUUGAGUGAGACCAAAGAAGCAUCCAAACGAGCAUCCACAGGCGCCGGCUUUACUUCAGGCCCGAGUGCUACAACUCCUGGCCCAUUCUUCGGCUGACUUCAGUCGUCUUCUGAGCUGAAACGCUCGAACCGCCGGUAGCCCCGGACCUUCGGAACCUGUUCCAUCUUCUCCAAGGACCAGUCUCACUUAAGUAUGCAAACCUCCAGAGCUCCAAACAGGGCUGAUGCUGUCUCAUGCAUUCAUAACUCAGAUAUCCACUUAUUCUGGUAAUCUUAGAUUCCUCCAAAUCCACAUCAGAGUUUAUCUCGACACCAAAGUUAGUGUAGGUUAAUAUGUUAGAGCAUAUUCACUCACUAUCAUUAAUUUUAGUGCUCCUAGCCUGACUCAGAAUCUUUAUUUAUUCACCUAUUUUUAUUUAUCCUCAUUAUCUUAUCAUCAUUUAUUGCAUGUAUGUUGUACCAUCAUUUAUCCUGUAAUAAACAGAUCAUUAUUUUUCAAAGUUCUUGUCUGUUAGUGUUUUUCUUGAAGUGGAGUCCCUGAAAUGAGAAUUUCGGCUUAAGAUAUGAGAUUGAUUAAUUAAUGAUUGACUUGAUGUUUGAUUUCUGAAUUAAACUUUAGUUUUCUUUAUUUUCCCACCAUUACGGGUGGGUGGUGCCCCUUUCAACGAGUGCAUAAAUGUCAUAACUUGAGAUUAUUAAUCUCCAGACAUUUAUUAUAAAUUCAAAUCACUACAUUAACUCCAAAAGGUCUGAAACAUGUUCCUAAAAAGGUUUUGGACAGUGAUUUUAACCCUAACCCCAAAAACCUUACACCUUACCCUAGCCGUGUAACCUAAUACCCGGGUAGUGCCUAAAGAAAGCCCUAACACCCCAAACAUUUUUUUUUUUUGAUUUUUCGGGUUUUUUGGUCUAAUUUACUCCAAAAGGUUUGAAACAUGUUCCUAAAAAGGUCUUGGACAAUGACUUUAACCCUAACCCCAAAAACCUUUAACCUUACU